GCGCGGAGCUGGCGGGUCGGCGCGCGCGCGCGUUUCUCCCCUUUCUGCCCAACUCUGACCUUGAGGGAGACAAUAAAAGAGGGUCAGAGCGCGCGCCUGGGGCAAGCCGAGCCACCGAGAGCCUUCUGCAGGUGUGUGAGGGCAAGUCUUGCGGCCCGGAGUGUUUACUGUGUCCCGCUUUAUGGAGCUGAGUGAGUUCCUGCGCACAACCAGCCUGGAGCUGUGCACGCGCAGGGUUUGGACGGAAAGAUGCAGGUCUGGAUCCCUGAUCAGAUGGAGGCCUCAGUGUGGAGAUUAAAACAAAUAAGGACCAAAGAUGGAAGGGUCUGUAUUGUCCCCUUGUCUUCACUACGGACAUCCUCAUGGCUGUUCUGUGCGACAGAGAACCCUAAGAAAUGGUGACCAGUCUACACUGCUCAUGUCAUCUCUGAUUAUAAGAGCGAGCUCAGAUGCUUUUCCUUACAUCUACUCCAUAGCUGACACUGCACACAAUGGCAUGCUAAAACGUUACCUACACUGCUGGCACUCUGACCAAAGCUACUGAUGAACACUUUUAAGUAAUUUUUAAGCAGAACUAAUAAGUUACUCUGCACAUCCCUCCUUCAACAGUUCUUCUCGACAUAGCUGGAUUUGAGCUCUUUGAGUUAUGAGCAGUUGUGCAUCAGUUUCACAACUGACAAGCUGCAGCAGUUUUUUUUAAACCAGCACAUGUUCAUCUUGGAGCAGGAUGAAUAUAACAGAUGGCACUGAAUAGACUUUUAUUGACUUUGGCUUAGACCUACACUGACCUCAUUGAGUAGGAGAAUUGUAACAAGCUGAUGGCCAACCUGAUGAGCACUCAGUCUCACUUUGUAUGCUGUAGCAUUUCUGUAAUGCGGACCUACAGUACAAGUACUACUUGAGACUAAUCUACUGAAUCUUGAACGCUUCCACAAUUCCAAAAGACAAGUGGACAAUGAGACAAUGAGGCUGCAGAGAAACUUCUAAGCUGGCUGGAUAUUGAUCCCAUGCAAUACAGAGGAAAUCACUGACCUGAGUAUGUGGUUUGGUUAAGCAGGCAAGACAUUCUGUUAGAGCAAAUGUAAAAGUCUCUGGAUUAAGAGUGACAUCCAGGCAGCACUGGAGAAACCUCUUUGGUUGCAGAGGUCAGAGGAUGAAGAUGACAAAGGAAGACCUGCAUGAAAUGGUGUUUCAGCUUGACUAUGGAAAAAACAAAACAAAACAAAAAACAGGUAGCUGAAUCACAAAAACUAACUUACUACCUACAAAGUAGUCAUUUCUCUUACUUACCUUCAACACUGAAGUUACAUGACACCAGCUAUAUCAGUUAACUAUAAUCAGCAAAAAAAAAAAUUGUCCUCUCACAUUCACAUGCUUUUAUUUCCAGCAAAUGUCUUAACAUGUGCAAAUAUUUGUAUUAAUAUAAAAACAACUGAGACAUGUGAACAAGUUUCACAGACAUUUGACAAACAGAAAUGGAAUAAUGAAUCCCUGAACAAAGGUCGGGGGGGGGGGGGGGGGGGGGGGUGUCAAUAUCAAAAGUAACAGUCAGUAUGUGGUACUACAGUGCAUCUCAUCCUCAUGGACUGCACCAGAUUCUUGCUGUGAGAUGUUACUCCACUCUCCCACCAAGGCAUUUACAAGUUCUCAAUCACGUCUGGGUGGACACAUGGUUACACGUGGUUUGCCACUGCAAGGACAAUCAGCUGUCCUUCCUGUCUCUCUGUAGCACUGUCUUAGGCAUCUUACAUUACAGACAUUGCAGUUUAUUGGUUUAUUGCUCUGGACACAUCUGCAGUCCUGAUGCCUCCCUGCAGCAGGUCUAUGGCAUGUUCACGCAGGUGAGCAGGAACCCUAGGCAUCUUUUAUCUGGUGCUUUUCAGAGUCAGUAGAAAGGUCUCUUUAGUGUCUUAAGUUAUUGUAGUUGUGACCGUAAUUGCCCACCUCCUGUAAACUGUUAGUGUCUUAAAGAUUGUUCCACAGGUGCAUGUGUAAUAAUUGUUUAUGGUUCAUUGAACAAGCAUGAUUAAGAUCUGUAAAGUUUAUUUGGAUUUUACAAAAUGAUCUUUAAAAUACAACCUCUGAAAAAGGGACAUUUCUUUUUUUGCUGAGUAUAUAUUAACUAAAAUGAAGGGAUCCAUCCAAUAUCAACAUAUAUCUUUAUCUUUUUUAUAUCUUAUCUAUAAAUAAGCAAGACACAUGAAGGCCAAGUAGCAUGAAUAAACAAAGGGAACGGAGCUUGGUGAAUCUCUGCAUCAGUGUGAAAAUCUCAAGAAACAAGUGGCAGUAACAGAUCACUGUAACAUCUUGCUGGCUCCCAAACUGGAAAAGCUCCAAACUAAUUGAAUAAAUCGGCCAAAUGUGCAAAGCCUCCUGGAAUAUUUUACAUGCACAGAUGAUCAGACAAUACUGAUCAGUCUGUGCACUGAUAGUUGACUGUGUGCCGAACCAGAAAAAGGUUCUGGGAAGUGAUAUCUCAAUGCUGGCAGUGAUGCAAGGAUUUCUUUAAUGCCCAUGAGAAGGACAAGAAGCCCUACAAGCUGAGGAGUUAGUGUGAAGAAUAGUGUCUCAUCUUAAAGCAUUCUGUCUUGCUUGCAUUACAUAUCUCAACACAGACACUGUUCAUAUUGGUCCACAUCACUGAGCAAGUGCAGGCUGCUUUGAUUGUAUAUAAGGUGGAAGGAAAGGACAAUACCGACAUGACCAGCUUCAGAAAGAUCCACCACAGUGCAGAGGAGGGCAUACAUGGACGGGCUCGUCCAUCUAGCCAGCCGACUGUGCCUUUGCAUAAAAGAGACGCAUUAUCAAGCGAUGAGUGCUCCUAUAUUUAGAGCAGGUGACUUUACACAGUGAUGAAGCAUGCUCCUGAUUACAUUUUUGGUUUACUGUGGACAAGGAUUCUUAAUAUGGAGUUUACAUGUUAGCAAUGGAGACAGAAAAAGAUAACAGCUUAUGUGGUACAGAGUAGAUCAAGAUGUUUUUCAAAACUCCCCAGAUGUUUCCCUGGAUGCCCAAGUCCAGAAAUGACUAGAAAUUCUAAAUAAAGCAAACUAAAGAUAAUUAUUGGCUUAAUGUAUAAGUGCAAUCCUUGGUACAUGAAACAAUGUGAAUGUGUAGCUUUUGCUUUUAAACUAUGGGGCUACAGCUCAUAGUAAUGAUAGUGUACUUUUUUUAAAAUCAUGUUCUGUCCAUUGCGAUAAGAUACCUCCUAGCCAUUAAUAAGUAUAAGAUAUCCACCAGAAUCUUGCAUAAUAUUGAGGUUCAUCUGUUACCUGAAACACACUUAUGCCUCACAGUGUCACAGACCACCCCCAUCCCACCCCACCCCACAUGAUCCUCUGUUUUGAUAUAUGCCUCAAUUAUCUUAUACUGAGAAUAAGGGUUGUAAUUAGUUAUGUGCACUAAUCCCACGUUUCCCAUUUGCUUUAAGUACGCCGUAAAACAGCGGUGGGUUUAAGGCAACUUGUGUCUUGUGUUCCCAUGCAUAAUCUAUGUUUUGUCAGUCAGCACUUCACAACUUCAUGACCUGAAAUAUGUCAAUGGACCAGAUCGGAAAAUACAAUGCCUAGAUACUGAUACUUGGUAACAGUCUUAUUAUCUGUCGUGGAGAAAUCCCUCCAAUCAAAGUAAAAAAAAAAAAACUUCCAGAGACCAGGAUUUAUGGAUGUCAAAAGAUAUUAAACUUUAUUUAAAACAAUAAAAUGAGGCAGUCUGCAGAAAGUCUGAAUUACAGACACACAAACAUGCCUUCAUAUACAGUAGGGAAAAUAAGUAUUGAAUGUGUCAAAAAAAUUUUCAGUAAAUAUAUUUCUGAUGAGGUUAUUCACAUGAACUUUCCACCAGACCUUGAUAUUAACUCAAGAAAUCAGGAAAUAUAAAGAAUUCACAACAUUAAAGUCCAUAAAUGAAGUUAUUUGUAAUACAGUGGAAUGACACAGGAAAAAAGUAUUGAACACACUAACGGAAAUUUAUUUAAUACUUAGUGGAGCAGCCUUUGUUUGUAAUGACAGCUUCAAGGGGGAACUUCUGGACUUGAACGUUGUGAAUUCUUUAUAUUUCCGGAUUUCUUGAGUUAAUACUGACGUCUGGUGAAAAUUUCAUGUGAAUAACCUCGUUGGAAAUAAAUUUACUGAAAAAAAUGUUGACACGUCCGAUACUUAUUUCCAGCACUGUACUUUUCUGACUCUUCUGAAUCUCUUCUCUCUAAAAACAAACCAAUCUCAGUCACCUUAAUUAAUUAUUCAUGUCUAUAUGAUAUCUUACAUUUGUGAUGCAUGUGCUGUCGGUUGGAUUUUUUUUGAAAGGUUUCAUCAGGACAGUUUUUACGCUGCCCCAAAAUUCAUCCUUAUACCUUAAUGAUUUUCUGGCUCUAAUCCCAGCAUGAUUCUCUUCCUCUUGAAGUCUUGUUAUUUUGACACUGGUUUGCAAGAUUAAAGGGCUUUGAUUGACAUUCA